CUCUGUCUCUGCUUCCUGCUCUGUGGAAAUUUGAGGAAUCCUAGACACAUUCUCCACAGUGUGAAGUCUGUUGUGCCUUCUCUGCUGUUGUAAAUGAAGACUGCUCAAACUGGAAGAUCUGGAAAUGCCUGGUCAAACUAUGGAGUUACCCAAGCAUUGCAAACCAGCCAGUUACGGAAAGCACCUGCUGGAGGAGAACACAGCCCACAGAGCAGCACAUGGCUUCUCUCUAAAUGGCUGAUGCUUUCUAAUUUAUCAGGCUCUGGUGCUCUCACAGACCUUGGGCAGGGCACUUUAUUUCCCUGAACAUGAGGUCCCUCAUCAGGAAAUGUUGGGAGCCGCCCCCACAUUCGCCGUUACAAGAUGGCGCUGACAUCCUGUGUUCUAAGUGGUAAACAAAUAAUCUGCGCAUGUGCCAAGGGUAUCUUAUGACUACUUGUGCUCUGCCUUCCCCGUGACGUCAACUCGGCCGAUGGGCUGCAGCCAAUCAGGGAGUGACACGUCCGAGGCGAAGGAGAAUUCUCCUUAAGAGGGACGGGGUUUCGUUUUUUCCCUCUCUUGCUUCUUGCUCUCUUGCUUCUUGCACUCUGUUCCUG
rnacentral:lncRNA from 1 species